rnacentral:rRNA from 1 species
UACAGAGGUGGCAAGCGUUGUUCGGAAUUACUGGGCGUAAAGGGCGCGUAGGCGGUCCCGUAAGUUCCGCGUGAAAUCCCCCGGCUCAACCGGGGAAUGGCGUGGAAAACUGCGGGGCUUGAGUUCGGGAGAGGGAAGCGGAAUUCCGGGUGUAGCGGUGAAAUGCGUAGAUAUCCGGAGGAACACCGGUGGCGAAGGCGGCUUCCUGGACCGACACUGACGCUGAGGCGCGAAAGCUAGGGGAGCAAACGGG